GUUUACAGCCUAGGUUGGCAGUGCAAAGAAAGUAUUAGACUGUAGGACAGGAAGAUACAAAUACUCAUGUUAGCUAAGAUACAGAACUUGUUAUGAAGUUAGCAUGUAAAUAGAACAAACUCAACAACAACUUAAAAAAGUUGGCUUGUACUUGCUAGCGGGCUGGCUAUUGGCUAGCUAGCGGGCUGGCUAUUGACUAGCUAGCCCUACCUGGUUACUGGCUAUAGUCAUGCUAGCUAGUAGUAGGAGAAAAGCACAGUAUGGCAUCUGAGCUGAUCAUCAUGAACUUCAUGUAGAUCCAUCAUACAGACCUGAGCCCUAGGACCAUGCCUCAGGACUACCUGGCAUGAUGACUCCUUGCUGUCCACAGUCCACCUGGCCGUGCUGCUGCUCCAGUUUCAACUGUUCUGCCUGCGGCUAUGGAACCCUGACCUGUUCACCGGACGUGCUUGUUGCACCCUCGAC
rnacentral:lncRNA from 1 species